rnacentral:rRNA from 1 species
GACGAACGCUGGCGGCGUGCUUAACACAUGCAAGUCGAACGGAAAGGCCCUGCUUUUGUGGGGUGCUCGAGUGGCGAAAGGGUGAGUAACACGUGAGUAACCUGCCCUUGACUUUGGGAUAACUUCAGGAAACUGGGGCUAAUACCGGAUAGGAGCUCCUGCUGCAUGGUGGGGGUUGGAAAGUUUCGGCGGUUGGGGAUGGACUCGCGGCUUAUCAGCUUGUUGGUGGGGUAGUGGCUUACCAAGGCUUUGACGGGUAGCCGGCCUGAGAGGGUGACCGGCCACAUUGGGACUGAGAUACGGCCCAGACUCCUACGGGAGGCAGCAGUGGGGAAUAUUGCACAAUGGGCGGAAGCCUGAUGCAGCAACGCCGCGUGCGGGAUGACGGCCUUCGGGUUGUAAACCGCUUUCGCCUGUGACGAAGCGUGAGUGACGGUAAUGGUUAAAGAAGCACCGGCUAACUACGUG